CGAGGAACAAUUGGAGGGCAAGUCUGGUGCCAGCAGCCGCGGUAAUUCCAGCUCCAAUAGCGUAUAUUAAAGUUGUUGCAGUUAAAAAGUUCGUAGUUGGAAAUAGGAUGAGAAGUGUGUGAUGGUAGGGGAUAAUAAAAAUUAUUGUUCUUUAUCAUUAUUUCUUGUUCUAAGGGUGUAAAAACCCUUAAGAGGAAAAGGGGGGAUGGUUAACUCUAUUCCUAUUUUAAAACCUUUUUCUCCUUUUACUUUGAGGAAAUUAGAGUGUUCAAAGCAAGUGGUUUGUGAACUGCUAAAUUUUGAAUAUUACAGCAUGGUAUAAUAGAAAAAGACCGAACGGUAAAUUUUGUGGCUAUGUCAACACGUGUAAGCGGAGCGGAUGAGCAAUUGUUCGCUUCGUCUUCGGUAAUGAUUAAUAGAGGCUGUUGGGGACAUCUAUAUUUGAUUGUCAGAGGUGAAAUUCUUGGAUUUUUCAAAGAUAAACUAAUGCGAAAGCAUUUGUCAAGGAUGUUUUCAUUGAUCAAGAACGAAAGUUAGGGGAUUGAAGACGAUCAGAUACCGUUGUAAUCCUAACUAUAAACGAUGCCGACCGAGGAUGAGAGGGGAGCUAAGGGAGAUAGACUUAGGUCUAUUUACUUCUGUAUGCCUCUUCUCGCACUCUUUGAGAAAUCAUUGAGUUUUUUGGUUCUGGGGGGAGUAUGGUCGCAAGACUGAAACUUAAAGGAAUUGACGGAAGGUUACACAAGAAGUGGAGCCUGCGGCUUAAUUCGACUCAACACGCGAAAUCUCACUAGGUUAGGACUUGAGAAGGAUUGACAGAUUGAUAGCUCUUUCUCGAUUGUAAGGGUGGUGGUGCAUGGUCGUUCUUAGUUGGUGGUUUGAACUGUCUGGUCAAUUCCGAUAACGAACGAGACCUCAACGUAUUAAAUGGGGAGGAGAGGGGGUGGAUUUAGUGGGUAAAGCCACGAUAGGUGUGGAGAUAAAGAUGGAUAGAGAUGGUUUUUAAACGGACUGUUUCUAUACUUUUAUUUCUAAACUAUAAAAAUGCUCUCUCUUACUCGGGAGUGUUUGUCGUAAAAAAGCAAGCAUUCUCUUUGCCCACUUAGACGGACAUUUAAAGAAUAUAUAGGGUUUUAGGUCAGCAAUGAUCUAGACUCUUUUGGUGGUAAACCAAAGGAAGUUUGAGGCAAUAACAGGUCUGUGAUGCCCUUAGAUAUCCUAGGCUGCACGCGCGUUACACUGACAAAUUCAAAAAGUAGUUGAGAGGGUAGAUGGGGUGGUAGCAAUAUCAUUUCUCUCCCUCUCUCCACCCUUACUAGAAAUGGUUGGGUAAUCUUCUCAAUGUUUGUCGUGCUGGGAAUUGAUCAUUGCAAUUAUUGGUCAUGAACGAGGAAUUUCUAGUAAGCGUAAUUCAUCAAAUUGCGCUGACUCAGUCCCUGUCCUUUGUACACACCGCCCGUCGCUCCUACCGAUUGAAUGAUACGGUAAAAUGUUUGGAGAAGAGAUGAUUGAGAGUAGCAAUAUUUUCGAUCUUCAUUUCAAAGUUCAUUAAACCUUCUCAUUUAGAGGAAGGAGAAGUCGUAACAAGGUAACUGUAG
rnacentral:rRNA from 1 species